GCCCCUCCCUGCCUUUGAACUCACAGAAGGGUGGGGAGGGGCAGCGUGUAGGUCAGACAAGACAAUGCUGAGUGAAAGGUACAGGGUGGUGGUCUGGCAGAGGGGCCGUGAGGACAAGAAGUGCCCACAGCAUCCUAGACAUAGGUCCACCGCCUCAACUCCAGCUCGCUCCCUCUGGACUCAGAGUGUAGACAAACGCCUGUGAGGUGCCCUGAGCCCUUUGGAGAUGAUCACUCCGAUCCGGUGCCCAGGCCGGUUGGCCAAGGCCCCUGGGUUCCAGCGUCCCUUGGCUGCCGGGUGACAGCUGUGAGAGUACAGGGGUAAUAUGCUGGGUCAGCGGUCUUCCAACUCGAGAAUCGACAUCCGCAUCACUUGGGGGGCUUGUUCAAACACAGUGUUGGGCCCCACCCCCCAUGUUUCUCACUCAUCAGGUCUGGGGUUGUCCCUACUGACAGCAGAUAUGUGACCUGGUUGCAAGAGACACGUGUUUGAGCUCAGGGUCCCUCUCACUUUUUG
rnacentral:lncRNA from 1 species